UUAUUAGGCAAAUGCUUGCCUAAGCAUCUCGCAAUGUUACUUUUAAUAUAUCAUUCUGCUUUGUGGUCAGCAGUCUUGCUGAGCCACAGAUUAAAGUCUUUAUUCAGCUGCAAAUCCAAUGUUCCCCAAGAUCCAAAUACUGUCACCCUAACAGUUGUAUUUGAGUUAAACCCA